rnacentral:tRNA from 1 species
GCUCCCGUAGCUCAGUGGAUAGAGCAGCGGAUUUCUAAUCCGUUGGUCGCAGGUUCGAACCCUGCCGGGAGCG